UAAACAGAUUUAAAAAUUGCUUGUAGGAUGUCAAGGUUGCCUAUUGUCAAGACAGGCUGGUGAGAUAAGAGCUCCGAUCAGUCACGCUCCAGCAGUUCUGCGCGUUGAGUAGAGCACUCAGGCUUGUUGGCUGCCUGCUGGCAGAACCACCAGCAGCACAGGCACAUCUUGCACUGGAGCUGCUCAUACUGUGCUGCUUCCACCCUACUGUGUGUGCCCAUUGGUUUUGCCUGGGUUUUGUGCAGCACUGGGUGCUCCUGGCUGUGGUCAAGCAUGGUUCCUGCUCACCUGCAGCCUUCCUCCUGCCCUGUGCUGUGUGUGCCCAGCAUCUGGCUGCUCAGCAAACAGGCCUGGGAACAGCGCCGUCCCAAAUGGAGUCUGCUCUGUGACUCAUGGAGCAGAAGGAAAACCAAAAUGACUUCAGUGACAGCUCAGCUAUUCUGCAGAAUGACUAGUAAGUAGUCGGAGUAAACAGCUUAGGAAGAAAAUACAGACAGAAAAAUUAUGCAUCUCAUCCACAUGGCAAAUUGCUCGGAAAAAAGAAAAAGGAGAGAUUUCUGUUGUACAGAAAAUCCUCAAAUUAAAAAAAAAAAAAAGUUAAAAAAAAGAGGAGAAAAAUCGUUUACCUUUUGCACAGAAUGAAAAUGUUACGAAAAGUGUUAGUUGAAUUUAAUUGUGCUUCCUUUGUUUCUAAAAUGUGAAAACAACAGAAUUACACAAGAAAGUGAAAGAGAAGGGAAUCGAACCAGUUAAGUCAGCGAUGUGGUGGUUUUUUUCCUAUCAAAAUGAGAGGGAAGUGCUCUAUUUUGACUUUUUCCCAUCAGAAAUGUUGUGGAAAUCAAUGGUUUCCUAUGCAACGCUCGGAUGAAAAUGAAAACCACAUUUGCUAAUGAAACAUGGCUGCAGCGACAGCUCUCGUGCCUUAUUGGAAGGUAUGGCCCUAAUCCUGGCACCAGUUCUCCCAGUAAGUCUGCUCAGUGAACUCGGACCUGCACGGAGGUUUCCUGCUCCGGGAAGGGGCUGUGCUCCUCGCUAAUUUAUUCACCAUGAAUAAUUCAACCACUUCUUGUCAUUGCUUUGCCACACGUGUUUCUGCCAUAGCCUGCAUUUGAUUUUUUCAUAAAAACCUGGAAACUGGAGACAGAAAAAGCGUAAGGUGUUUUCCCACCCCCCCAGGUUGAGCUGCUCCCUGCACUGCGCUGGUGGUUUGGAGCCACAGGCGAACAUGGGAAGCAGAGAACUGCAGCAUUGUUGGUUUUGAAUAUUUGUUUUGGUUGGGUGUUUGGCACAAAAAACUCAGAACUGGUUUCUAAGCACAGGUGAGAUAUAGAAAAAAAAAUGGGCU
rnacentral:lncRNA from 1 species